ACCUCAGAGCCACGGGGCUCUGCUUCUCGCUGCCUGCCGGUGUGGCUGGGGCUCCUCACGAGGAGGUGAAUGCCUGUGCUGGGGGCUUUGUUCCAGAGGGAGUCCUGGAACCGAUCCAUACGGCCCAGCUCCAUUCCCUGAGGCCUCUGCGCUCGGCCACGAAGGAAUCUCACGACGCCCUGGGAGUGAAGUCAGCAAGCAGCACCAUGCUCUCUCGCUUCUCCUCUGCACUCAGAACUUAAUUUUCUCCUUUCUUGAUUAAGUUUUGUUCUUCAUCUAGGGAACGGGAAGGCUCGUGGGCCUCUCUUCCAAAUCCCCUGCCUGUUUCCACCCUCCCUCCACCCUUUAGGAGGUGGACAGAGCUCCCACACAGGGCCUGUGCCUGUUUUUUUGCUCUGCCACAAGCAUGCAGAGCAGGGAUCAGUCCUGACUCCCAUGGCUUCGUUCUGUUGGUUCUCUCCUCUUCCCUCUCCUGCUGCAGUGACUCCCCACGAGGAGCCAGUGCCCUUGGCUGCUGCACGACUAAUCCGUUUGUCAGAUUAUCCUAGAAGCUGGAAUUAAUUUCUACAGCGGGGCACUCGCUGCUUCCCCUGGCACCAGGUUUCUCUCCUGCGGGUAGAAACUGGAUCCCCUCCCCUUUCUGCUCCCUCUGUGUGGCUGGGCUGUCCUUGCGAGGGAGAGGCUGCUCCCGGAGCUCCUCACCCUGGGCUCUGGGAUGCAGCCCACGGUGGUGUUAUGAAUUUAUUUUUUUAAAGGACCACACGGGAAGGUUUUUGUCAACUAGGAAAAACACAGACAUUUCGGUAUCAAUAAACAGU
rnacentral:lncRNA from 1 species